ACGGAAGGCAGCAGUGGGGAAUAUUGGACAAUGGGGGAAACCCUGAUCCAGCGACGCCGCGUGAGUGAAGAAGUAUUUCGGUAUGUAAAGCUCUAUCAGCAAGGAAGAAAAUGACGGUACUUGACUAAGAAGCUCCGGCUAGAUACGUGCCAGCAGCCGCGGUAAUACGUAUGGAGCAAGCGUUAUCCGGAUUUACUGGGUGUAAAGGGCGUGUAGGCGGGACAUCAAGUCAGAUGUGAAAGCACGAGGCUCAACUUCGUGUCUGCAUUUGAAACUGACGUUCUUGAGUGUUGGGGAGGCUAACGGAACUCCUAGUGUAGCGGUGAAAUGCGUAGAUAUUAGGAAGAACACCAGUGGCGAAGGCGGUUAGCUGGACAAUAACUGACGCUGAGGCGCGAAAACGUGGGUAGCAAACAGGAUUAGAUACCCUGGUA
rnacentral:rRNA from 1 species